AUGCCGCGGUGGCGGGGUGGCCGGGGGGAGUGGUUUCUUCUGGGGCUCCGCUCGGGGACAGUCCGCAGGGCUGUAGCUUUGCAUGCACUGACCUGUGUCAGAAGACGGUGGCUCGGGCAGAGUGAGGCAUUGGAUGCUGCACGCUGGCCUUGGCGUCGCGCAGUGGCCCCGCGGCCCGACGCAGAGUGCCGCGCCGCACGGAGAGGAACACCGCACCGAGCUAAUGCGAGGACGGGGUGGCGCGAGCUCGAGCGUGUGCGUCGAAAAAGCGGCACGAGGAAUUGGGUCACCUCCCGCCGAAUCGAACACUUAGCCCCCGACGGCUUUGCCCUCCUGCUGAUUCCUUGCCACCAUCUCCCCCACACGCUCUUUGUCCCAGGCGAUUUCAUGGACGACCAACAGGUAAGCACAUCUUCUCCGAUCGGCACUGGACGGCGACGACACUUCGUCAUCCUCCUCUUCUCCGACGACUUCCGCGUCGACUCCCUACUCCUUGAUGGUUUAUGGCCGAUAUGUAGUUGCGGCAGCCGCGUAUGUAAUGCUUCGAACUCAUUGGUAGCACUCUUGUAUGCAUGUGAACAUGAGCAUCCAAGAGUUCAGCCAGGCCAUUAUUCUGUUCGGCCAGUGUAUGCCGUCCUAUGUCGAGGACUCCUAAUCCAAGAGAUACUUCAGGAUUCAGAGGUGUUCGAGGUGCCUAUUCAGCCCUCAUUUGUGAUGGCCAUGCCUAAUGCUACAACUACUGCCGCACAUAAGACAACCAUGAAGGCUGGGAAGGAGAAGGUCUUUGGCAGGGGGAACACAAUGAAGUGGUUGCCUUUUCUGUCCACCUUCAUGCUUAACAAGAUGUGCGAGAUCAUGUCCAAUGGGGGAAGGACUGACAAUGUCUUGAAGGAGGUGCACAUGAACAAUGUUGCAAAGCGGAUCUUCGACUUCUAUGUCCAAGAGGUGACCUCGACCCAGUCUGGGACCACCGUGGUCGUUGUACUACCGACUGCGCCGCCCAGGCCUUGCCAGACCUUUGCCGUGCCACACGGGCGUCAACCGAGUUGCCUACACUUCAAUUCCAACCCUGGUCCGGCCGCCACCCAGGUCCACUUCAUUCCUGCACAUUGUGUACAUGGAUUGUAA
rnacentral:rRNA from 1 species